rnacentral:misc_RNA from 1 species
CAGCUAGAAAGCAGAAAUGUGGUAUGUUGCCUUCUUCAUAAUGGUGUAUUUACGAAUCUUCCUGAGCUUGCAGUGGUUUUCGAGAAUUAACCAUUGUUGGGGUUAUCUUAUCCUUUCAUUGAAAAAUAUUGUACGUUAAAUGUUAGCAUAAAUAAACUGCCCCACAAAUUUCUCAUGCUAGACUUGUUUACUGUUUCAUUCUGAAAUGCAUGACAGUAUCAGCAUGAAACAUGGUAGUGGGUAAAAUUAACUUCUAAAUGAAUCUAACAAUGUGAUGCAAUACAAUUUGUCAUAAUGAAAUGUAAUUUACACAUUAUCGUAUGCCUAAGCUUAUUCAACCUCCUGCAACACGUGGUUAUUUAUAUUUGAG